rnacentral:misc_RNA from 1 species
GAUGAAGAACGCAGCGAAAUGCGAUAAGUAAUGCGAAUUGCAGAAUUUCCGUGAGUCAUCGAAUCUUUGAACGCACAUUGCGCCCUUUGGUAUUCCGAAGGGCAUGCCUGUUCGAGCGUCAUUUCAACCCUCGACCUCCCCUUGGGGAGGUCGGCGUUGGGGACCGGCAGCACACCGCCGGCCCUGAAAUGGAGUGGCGGCCCGUCUGCGGCGACCUCUGCGUAGUAAUACAGCUCGCACCGGAACCCCGACGCGGCCACGCCGUAAAACACCCAACUUCUGAACGUUGACCUCGAAUCAGGUAGGACUACCCGCUGAACUUAAGCAUAUCAAUAAGCGGAGGA